rnacentral:rRNA from 1 species
AGAGUUUGAUCCUGGCUCAGAUUGAACGCUGGCGGAAUGCUUUACACAUGCAAGUCGAACGGCAGCACGGGGGCAACCCUGGUGGCGAGUGGCGAACGGGUGAGUAAUACAUCGGAACGUGCCCAGUCGUGGGGGAUAACGUAGCGAAAGUUACGCUAAUACCGCAUACGAUCUACGGAUGAAAGCGGGGGAUCGCAAGACCUCGCGCGAUUGGAGCGGCCGAUGUCAGAUUAGGUAGUUGGUGGGGUAAAGGCCUACCAAGCCAACGAUCUGUAGCUGGUCUGAGAGGACGACCAGCCACACUGGGACUGAGACACGGCCCAGACUCCUACGGGAGGCAGCAGUGGGGAAUUUUGGACAAUGGGCGCAAGCCUGAUCCAGCCAUUCCGCGUGCAGGACGAAGGCCUUCGGGUUGUAAACUGCUUUUGUACAGAACGAAAAGCUCUGGGUUAAUACCCUGGGGUCAUGACGGUACUGUAAGAAUAAGCACCGGCUAACUACGUGCCAGCAGCCGCGGUAAUACGUAGGGUGCAAGCGUUAAUCGGAAUUACUGGGCGUAAAGCGUGCGCAGGCGGUUUUGUAAGACAGAGGUGAAAUCCCCGGGCUCAACCUGGGAACUGCCUUUGUGACUGCAAGGCUGGAGUGCGGCAGAGGGGGAUGGAAUUCCGCGUGUAGCAGUGAAAUGCGUAGAUAUGCGGAGGAACACCGAUGGCGAAGGCAAUCCCCUGGGCCUGCACUGACGCUCAUGCACCGAAAGCGUGGGGAGCAAACAGGAUUAGAUACCCCUGGUAGUCCACGCCCUAAACGAUGUCAACUGGGUUGUUGGGUCUUCACUGACUCAGUAACGAAAGCUAACGCCGGGAAGUUGACCGCCUGGGGGAGUACGGCCCGCAAGGUUGAAACUCAAAGGAAUUGACGGG